GGGGCGGCGCAGGGUCUCCCCUGCGAGGCCAGGCGGAGGUUCGCGGCUCCAGGUGCCCGCUCUGCUCCUCCCAGAAGCUGGACUCACAGGAAACGGAGGCCCGGCCGCCCCGCGAGCCCUCUAUUUACAGCCAGAAUGAGGCGCCGAGUCCUCCGAGAAGUCGAACAGCCGGACCGAUGAGAACGUGGCCCUGAUUAAGCCCAGCAUCUGAUGUGACAUUCUCUGUGGUUACGUUUACUUCCCGUUACUAGGGCUUGUGAAGGAGGCAGCGCUGAGAAGGCAGCCUUGGGAGGUCCAAGGCGUCUGGAAGAUGCGUCAGGACGCGCCCCCUGCGCCUCCUCCCCGGGGUUUGGGGUCGCGAGGAUGCUGCCGCCUGGGGCCCCUCCUGGUUACCGCCGUGAACCUGCCGGGCGCGGGGCCUCCUGCAGCCUCCGCGUCUGGCCCGUCUGUCCUCAGGCCGAGGCUGGGCCGUAGUGACCGGCUGGCGGUCCCUGCGCGUCCGGCCCUGCUCCGACGGCCCGAGGCGCGCCCGGCUGCUGGGCAGUCGGAGCCUCGCAGGCUCUGGGAUCCGGGGCCUUCUCGACAAAGCCGCACGAGACCCGUGGCCCCUACUCAGAAAGCGGAGCCACCAAACGCCUGGUCACUCGUGCCAGUGACCCCCCCCCUCCACGGGCAUCCUGGGGUCCCCCUCUUCUCCAGCCUACCUCGAAGACGCUAAAUUCGAAACAGGCCUCCAGUCUGUCCAUCUGUCCGCCCCCAUCCCCUGCUCUCGCGAGCGGGCAGCUCAGUCCUUGCUCGGGUCACUGUGACAGCCCUGUGGGUUCUCCUGCCGACUGUCGUCUCCCCGCCUCGAAGUUUACUCUCCACACCCACCCUGAGGGAGAGGGAGCUCCAGAAAGUCAAAUGAGCUCCUGUGGCCCUGAGUGUUUCAGUGGCUUCCCACUGCACCUGGGAGAAAGUGACCCCCAGCCCCCAUCACAUGGCGCAAGGCUCCCGGGAUUCCUGCAGUUUCCCCCAAAUUCUAUCCCACCAUUGUGCCAUGCCAUUCCAGACACUCUGGUCCCCCAGCUCUAUCUCCAAUACCCUGAGUUGUCCAGCCCCAGGGCCUUUGCACAUGCUGCUCCCCCUCCUUCUGGAAUGCUCUCCCCUCAGCUCUCCCCAUGACCCGCUGAAAGGAGCUCAACACAAGGUUGACAUAAUGGAAGCCAUAUUGUAGAAGAGAGACCAUGUUGUAACUUUGAAUGACCUCUGACUAACUAACCCAGCUGGAUUUGCACCCUCCAGGAGAUCCACCUGUGCUGUAGACGUUAUGACCCCUGCUAGAGCCUAUACCUUGCAGCUGCAAUAAGAUGAUAACUUUGUUCUUUUGAGUUCCUUUGGAAUGUGAUGACCCCCAAACAGACAGUCUAUGCUGAUAGCCAUCAUCAAUGAAACUGAAAGACCUGGAGUGGCGACUUGCAGUCUGUAACAACUGAGGGUCAACAUUCCUAACCCCUCCCCUAUAACCCACUGCCCUAUAUAACUGCGUCAAGAUUCUGUGCCCCCCUUACGAUGGGUCUUUUGGACAUUAGUCGGCCAUCUGCCCUCUUGCUAGCGAGCUGUAAUAAAAUGCCCUUUCUCUGCACCAUCUCACCUCUUGACGACUGGCUUUUGUCUCGGGGAGAGCAGAUUGUGCUCUUUGUGCGGUCAUACUGCCCCUCAUGUCCUUCCAUGCUCUGCUCAGGUGUCACCUGCUCAGAGGACAGCCCUGACCACCCGUCUAAAGAAGCUCUCGGCACCCACGUCGUGUCCCUAUGUCCUGCACAGAACUUGUCCCCAUGUGAAAUUGAUGUACUCAUUUUAUACCCUUCUGUUGUCAUUUCCACCCACAGGAAUGUCAACCACGUGAGAGAAGAAACUGUCUGUUCGCUGUGGAUCCCUGCUCUGAGAACGGGGUCAGCCGCAGUGAGUUCUUGAUUUGCGUUUGUUGAGUAAUUGAAGGAACAAGAAGAAUCAUAAGAUGGAAUCCCAAGAAUUCCAAAAUAAGUAUUUAAAUCAUAGAAUGUUCGAGUCAGAAGGAGCCCUUGGAAACCAUUCAGCCAAACCCAUUCCUUUUGCAGAUGGGUGAACUGAGACCCAGGAGGACAAAGUGCCUGCUCCACACCCCAAGCCGGGGGCCCUGCUCUGUGCGGGGGGGUUCUGCUUGCGUGGUUGUGGGGGCCACAUGUGGCUGUGGGGCGCCAUCUGUCCUUGACACAUGGCUGAGGAAAAUAGGGACAGAAGGCACAAAUAUGCCAAAAGAUAAAAGACUAAAAGCUACACAGUUCAGAGGAGACAGAGCUGGAGGCUGGGUGCCCAGUGGCCUGGAAAGGCUCCCCGAGGACGAGGGGCCUGAAUGGCUUGAGGAGCCGGUGGACCCCAACUUUGAGGGUCAACUCAUGGGAGGGCCUUAGGCAGGAACAGGCUGAGGCAAAUUCCUCAAGAAGGUAAUUCAGGGACAGAAGCAUCCGCUGGCUGCCUGUCACAGCCAGGGGCCUUUCACACGGAAAUCAGAUCACGUGUUCGCUGCCUGGAACAUUCGCUGCUUCUGUGCUGAGGCACCUCAACAGACGACCACAAACCGGGUGGCUUCAGACAAGGGUGAUUUGUCUCUCAAGUUCAGGAAACCGGAAGUCUGAAAUCGGGGGCAGGGGCGGUCCCUCCUGGGGCUCCGAGGCAGCAUCUGCUCCAGGCCCCCUCCAGCUGCUGGUGGGGACCGGCCUCCUUGGGGUCCCUUGGCUUGUAGGUGCAUGGCUUCCAUCUCUGCCUCACGGUCACACGACUUUCUCCAUGUGUGUCUUCACACGGCUUCAGACAAGGACGCUAGUCAUUGUAUUUAGCGUCACCCGAACCCAGUACGACCUCAUCUUAACUAAUCACAUCUGCAAAGACCCUCUUUCCAAAGAAAGUCACAUUCUGAGGUUCCGGGAGGGGCAACGCUAUUCAAGCCAGUGCAGCUUCCCAUUCUGCCGGAUUGAAAGCUGAGCCCUCUCCAGGCCUGUGGGGCAGAGCAGCCUGGUGCUUGAGACCAGGAGGCUGGAGCUGGCCUGCCCAGGUGAGCACCCAGCUCGGUCGUCACCCCCGUGUGCCUGAUGGUGGGUCAUGGCUCCCUGUUCUUUAUUCCCCUUUUGCCACAUGAUGUCACGGGGCCUCCCAAUGAUGUAGGAUGGCCAGGUGACCUGCUCUGCUCAAUGGGGCACUCGUGGGCUUGACCACGCAGAGGCCCUAAGUGCACUUGUGGGAUCUGGCUUGGUUCUUGGCUUCUGGAAGGUCCUGCCCCAAGGAGCUGCCCUCCUAGGGCUGAUGAGAGCUUCGCAGGGCUGACCUGAGGCCGAUCCCCAGCCUGCGGCCAAGCCCGGCAGCCCGGUGACCCUCCACAGAGUCACCCCAUCGAGCCCAACUCAGAUCAGCUGAACCCAGACGACCUGCCCUCCGCGAGCUGGGAAGUAAGUCACUGUGUUUGGAUGGUUCGUUACAGAUCAACACUGGGACAGUGGCUGAGGAAAACAGAAAUGUGUUGCUGGGCAUUCAGCUGCCCUCUCGGUUUCCCCAUCUGUAAAAUGGGGCUGAAAGCAGUACCAGCCUCCUCAGUUGUUGUGAGGGUGAAGCGAGAUAAUAAACGUAACGUGGCAUGUGGGGCGGAGACAAGAGCAGACGAGGUCCCUGCCCCACGGGCCUCCCACGUUGGCGGGAGAGAGACAGGAACGUGAAAUCCAGCGGGGCCGCACGUGGCCGGUGGUGAAGGUCGCCAAGAGGGAAGCACAGCAGGAUAGGGAGGCGGGGACAGGAGUGGUGCGGGCUCAACAGGCUGUUCAGGGAGGGACUCACUGAGACAGGGACAUAGGGCAAGGGGCCUGAAGAAAUAAGUGGGGCACGAGGGUUCUGCGGGGAGCGUUCAAGGCAGAGGGCACAGCCGGUACAAGGCCCGUGUGUGCGAGGAGCAGUGGGGGCCAGAGUGGCUGCAGGGAGGUGGGCGAGGGGGACUGUGGGAGCCAGGUCAGAGAGGUGACGGCACGGGAUCCGUGUACGACCUUGAGGGCCAGUGAAAGGACGCUGGCGUUACCUGUGCAUGUUGGAGCCCUCAGAUGGGUCUGAACACAGGAGUGACGUGCUCUGAGUUCAUUUUAGGUGACGCCUCAGGCUGUGUGCGGGGCCAGACUGUGGGGCGGAGGGCAGAAGCAGCUGGACCUGUGAGGAGGCCACCAGGGUGGGGGCAGGAAGGUGCAGGGCACGGUCAUCAGUGCCAGCUCUGGGAUUUGCACCUGAGGGUCGGCUGACGGGAUCUGCUGAUGGAUGGGGCGGAGGCGGUAAGAGGGAAACAGACCGUCAAGGAGGACGCCAAGGGCUUUGGGCUGAGCGGCUGGAAGGACUGCGGUGCUC